rnacentral:rRNA from 1 species
GGGCUCGGUAUGACGCGGGCUGGACCUCUCGGGGUUACAGCCUUGCUGAAUUAUUCACCCUUGUCUUUUGCGUACUUCUUGUUUCCUUGGUGGGUUCGCCCACCACUAGGACAAACAUAAACCUUUUGUAAUUGCAAUCAGCGUCAGUAACAAAUUAAUAAUUACAACUUUCAACAACGGAUCUCUUGGUUCUGGCAUCGAUGAAGAACGCAGCGAAAUGCGAUAAGUAGUGUGAAUUGCAGAAUUCAGUGAAUCAUCGAAUCUUUGAACGCACAUUGCGCCCUUUGGUAUUCCAAAGGGCAUGCCUGUUCGAGCGUCAUUUGUACCCUCAAGCUUUGCUUGGUGUUGGGCGUCUUGUCUCUAGCUUUGCUGGAGACUCGCCUUAAAGUAAUUGGCAGCCGGCCUACUGGUUUCGGAGCGCAGCACAAGUCGCACUCUCUAUCAGCAAAGGUCUAGCAUCCAUUAAGCCUUUUUUUCAACUUUUGACCUCGGAUCAGGUAGGGAUACCCGCUGAACUUAAGCAUAUCAAAAAACCGGGAGGAA